UACGAAGGGGGGCUAGCGUUGCUCGGAAUCACUGGGCGUAAAGCGCACGUAGGCGGCUUACUAAGUCAGGGGUGAAAUCCUGGAGCUCAACUCCAGAACUGCCUUUGAUACUGGUGAGCUUGAGUCCGGAAGAGGUGAGUGGAACUGCGAGUGUAGAGGUGAAAUUCGUAGAUAUUCGCAAGAACACCAGUGGCGAAGGCGGCUCACUGGUCCGGUACUGACGCUGAGGUGCGAAAGCGUGGGGAGCAAACAGG
rnacentral:rRNA from 1 species